rnacentral:rRNA from 1 species
UACGUAGGGUGCGAGCGUUAAUCGGAAUUACUGGGCGUAAAGCGUGCGCAGGCGGCGCGUUAAGACAGGUGUGAAAGCCCCGAGCUUAACUUGGGAAUUGCGCUUGUGACUGGCGUGCUGGAGUGUGGGAGAGGGAUGCGGAAUUCCAGGUGUAGCGGUGAAAUGCGUAGAUAUCUGGAGGAACACCGGUGGCGAAGGCGGCAUCCUGGACCAACACUGACGCUGAGGAGCGAAAGCCAGGGGAGCAAACGGG